GUGGGGAAUAUUGGACAAUGGGGGAAACCCUGACCCAGCGACGCCGCGUGAGGGAAGAAGGCCUUAGGGUCGUAAACCUCUGUUGUGUGGGAAGAAGAGCGUGACGGUACCACACGAGGAAGUCCCGGCUAACUACGUGCCAGCAGCCGCGGUAAUACGUAGGGGACGAGCGUUGUCCGGAUUUACUGGGCGUAAAGGGCGCGUAGGCGGUCAUUUAAGUCAGCUGUGAAAUGGUUUGGCUUAACCGGAUCAUGCGGUUGAAACUGGAUGACUGGAGUGCUGGAGAGGCAAGUGGAAUUCCCAGUGUAGCGGUGAAAUGCGUAGAUAUUGGGAAGAACACCGGUGGCGAAGGCGACUUGCUGGCCAGCAACUGACGCUGAGGCGCGAAAGCCAGGGGAGCAAACGGGAUUAGAUACCCUUGUAGUCC
rnacentral:rRNA from 1 species